UGUUCCUACUGUCUCUUGGAUUACUCAUUCUGGAGGGAGCCAGUCACCAUGUUGUGAUGAUACUCCAGUAGCUCUUAGAAGAGAGGUCCGGUUAAUGAGGAACUGUGGCCUCCUGUUGACAGUCAAUACCAGCUUGCCAGCCAUGAUUGGAGGAGUGAAUGGGAAAAUUAUGUUACUCAAAGCCCGUAAUUGCUGUGUCAUUGAUGUUGGAAGCAUCCACUGUUGUUGUUGGAACGACAGUUCUGCUACUUGGUAGAACGCUAAGAUACCACCCCUCUACCGAUACUGCUGGAAGUCCACAGACACACUCCACCGUUGCCCACCAUCACCGAUUCUGCCGCAGCCUGAGCCCAUAAGAGCUAUGCUGCUGAAGCACUGAGGUGUCUGCUCCUGCUGCCAUAUUGCCCUACCACAGCCACAGCAGGCAGACACGAUGCUGCUGACGUUGCUGGACUGUCUGCUGCCACUGCACUUCACGGAACCCUCUACCCAAGCAGGACCUCAGGAGCUCAUUCUUCUUCCGAGGAAUCACCAACAUAGGAGUAUCUGCUUCUUUUUUCCUGUAUCUUCCUUUUUCCUACUUUCCAAUAUCCCUCUAGUGUCCCCCACUGGAAGAAACUAACCAAAGUCAGCUGGCCAGGAAUUCUGAGAACUGUGGUUUGUAGGCUUUUAACCUCUCCUGAUAAAGAGGAAAGCACAGAAGGGACAGAAUGUUGCUGAGAUCCAACAAGACAUCAGAACAACCUGCCAUGUAUCUCUUACCGGAUAGGAAAUAAGUCCAUUUGUGAGAACUGUCCAGGUAUCAAAUGAUCACAAGACUCUCUUUUUCAUUCUUUCUUUAGCUGACCAGAGGAAGAAUAAUAGAAAAUCUUAGGAAUAAGGCCAAUACAUUUGGGAUUUUGCAGUGUGAGUUCAUCAGAAUUUAGGUUUUAGAGAUUUUACCAUGACGGUGAAUAUUUUUUAGUUGGAGUUUUCCAGCAUAGCACAUGGUGGUUACUUCCUUGAGGACUCACUAUCUGCAACUUAUCAAAUUAGUUCAGCCCAGGAAAUUUCCUUCUCCCCUGAACUCUUACCAUACCUAUUUAGCAUCUAAAAUACACUAUUUGGGAAAUAUUUGCUAUGCCUUCUGGAAAACUGGAUCCCAUGUUUUAUGACUUUUUAAGAUCUAAUACCCAACAAAGGUCCUUAAACAUGGUAGUCAUGUGAUAAAUGUUUGAAAGAAUGAUAUUACAAAACAAAUACAACUUAACUAAGGAAUUUAAAUAAAGAAAAAAUUGGAAUA